GUUAUCAAAAUAGUGAAAUACUCACUUAAGCAAUUCCUCCAUUUCCUCUCGUUCUUCACGCCUCUUGCUCUUCUCUUUUCCUUUUCUGCAACAAUGACAUGAUCUCAUCUUGAUCAACAACAAGAAGAAAAUACUCCCAAUCACAACAAUACACAGAUUCAAAAUUACCCAUCCCAACCCCAAAAACUCUGCUCUCGUCUCCUUUUUCACCCUCCAUACCCAAUACAUCAGUUUUAAAACUCUAAUCCAAGAAAGGUAUUAGGAGACUUGACUCAAAGAGAUGAAACGGAACGUUCUAAACAAAACGCAACACAGCAAACAAAAGAAGGAAUUAAGCAACACGUCUGCUACUCCUGAUCACGCACCUGAGAAUCAUGUUGCUGCUGUGCAUAAUGUUACUUCUGCUACACGGCAAGCAUUGCCUCUUGCACAGACUGGUUUGAGCAACAACUCAGGCACUUCUUGUGUUAUUUAGGAUCAGAUUACAUUAAAGAGGAUUGGUUUAGCUGAAGUGCAAUCUGGUCUUUAUGCUCUCAUUUGACCAACUUCAGAACAUAUGGUGAACUCAAUUUAUGCAUUUACAGCUUUUACAUCUUCUACUUUAACACUUCCUUCAUUUCCAAUGGAAGCUCUACGACAUUACAGAUUAGGACGUUUGUCCCAUUCAAGGUUGAUGCAAAUAAGUUAGCAAGUGUUUUUUAUUAAAGCUGUUUCCCAUGAAUUGCCUUGUGAUUGUUCUCAUCUAGCUAAGCAGAAAAGGCUUCCUUUUCCUCAAAGUGAGUCUAUUGCUAGUUCUGCUUUUGAUUUGGUGCAUAUGGACAAAUGGGGACCACUUUGAAUUCCUUCUAUACAUGGACAUAGAUAUUUGUUAACUAUUGUUGAUGAUCAUGCAAGAUUUGUUUGGAUUUUGUUAAUCAGAUCAAAAACAGAAGUGAGAUCUCUUGUUCAUACUUUUGUUACCAUGAUUAAAACUCAGUUUGGGGUGAAAAUUAAGCAAAUCAGGACAGAUAAUGGUGUUCAAUUUCACAUGAAUGAAUUUUUCAAUAACAAAGGCAUAUUACAUCAGACUUCUUAUGUUGAGACACCACAACAGAAUGUUGUUGUUGAAAGAAAGCACCAGCACAUAUUGAAUGUGACAAGAGCCUUGCUGUUUCAAGUCAUUUGCCUAAGAAUUUUUGGUGUUAUGCAGCUCCUCAUGCAUUAUUUUUGUUAAUAGACUUCCUACACCCUUGCUACAGAACCAUUCUUCAUAUAAACAACUAUAUCAUACUCUUCCACGUUACAAAGAGUUUAGGGUAUUUGGUUGUUUGUCAUAUGAUUCUACUCUCUCUUCUCAUAGACAUAAGCUGGAUCCUAGAGCAAGAAGGGCAUUAUUUAUGGGGCAUAAAUCAGGAACUAAAGGUUUUUUACUUACGGAUUUACAAUCUAGGGAAGUGUUUCUUUCCAGGAAUGUUGUGUUUUAUGAAAAUCAAUUUCCCUUUUCAUUACCUCACUCUAUUUCAUAUGAGUUUUCUCAACUGACAUAUUUUGCUUGCCUUUCUCCUUGUUUCGAUGCAUUUCCUUUUGACACUACAUCUCUAGUUCCUUCUUCCACUACUAAUCCAUUACCUUCUUCUCAUACCCCACCUUUGCAACCACUUUAACCUAUUAUACCCAACACAUUAUCUUAAUGACCAUAAAGAAACAGAAGAGCACCUCAAUACCUGCAAGACUACUAGUGCAACCUCACUACCACUUCCUCUAUUUCCAAAACUCACAUCCCCUUUCUUUCAUUCUAUCCUACCAUAACUUGUCCCCUGCUUACUCCCAUUUCAUUGCAAACAUUAGCAUCACUUUUGAACCCAAAAAUUACAAGGAGGCCAUUAAGCAUUCAGUCUGGCAGGAUGCCAUGAACACUGAGUUGUCUGCUCUUAAACAAACCAAAACAUGGACUCUUGUUUCUUUACUCCAAGGCAAGACUCUAAUAGGGUGCAAGUGGGUGUAUAAGGUGAAGUACAAAUCUGAUGGCACAAUAGAGAGA